UACAACAACUGUAAGCUUCGGAGGCCGAGGAUAUCUUGUACCGAAAGCCGGGGUAAACGCUGGGUAGCUAUGUCUGGAGCAAAUAACUGCUGAAAGCAUAUAAGUAGGAAGUUCACCUUAAGAUGAGUGCUCUUUUGUCUCAACCGUUCAUCCUUCUAUAAAGGUAUGUACAACCGAAAGACAAGGAAGGUCACGGCAAGACGAGCCGUUUGAUAGGCAUGAAGUAGACGUGCAGUAAUGCAUUCUGAAGCUGACAUGUCCUAAUAGACCGA
rnacentral:ncRNA from 1 species